rnacentral:rRNA from 1 species
CGAUGAACCUUACCUGGGUUUGACAUGUACCUGCAAACCUCCAGAAACGGAGGAAUCCUUAGAGGGUGGUACACAGCUGUUGCAUGGCUGUCGUCAGCUCGUGACGUGAGUUGUUCUCUUAAGUGAGGUAACGAGCGCAACCCCCAUCGUAUGUUACUGUGUCAUACGAGACUGCCCAGCAUUAUUUUGUUGGGAGGAAGGAGGGGACGACGUCAAGUCAUCAUGAUGCUUAUAUCCAGGGCUACACACAUCCUACAAUGGAUUGUACAGAGGGUUGCAAGACCGCAAGGUGGAGCUAAUCCCUAAAACAAUCCUCAGUUGGGAUUGCAGGCUGAAACUCGCCUGCAUGA